UUGUAAAUGGUUUUUAUUAGCAAAAUAAGGGAGAUGAGUCUACAAAGAUUCUCCUUCCAUGGAGAACAUACACAUACAUAGACAGUUGUGGCAGUUUCUUUAUAUGAACAGAUCCGGGACCAUAUUUAUCAUCGCUCCUCUUGGCAAAGUAGUGCUGAUCUAAAAACCGCAGACCAGGCUCCCUUGACCAUCUUAGUUUUUAUCACCCGAAGCAAAGGCGUCCUCUGUUCUCCAGUCAUCACGAGACAAGACCCAAGAAUGCUGCCUAAACCUUAAAACAUUUCAGACCUCAUCCUCACCUUUGCAACAGUCUACUCUGUGGUUCAGUUUUUUUUCCUCUCCUUAACACCCAAAACUCCAUAACUUCUCCUCCAAAUACAUUAAAAUAUACAGUAAAAUGUGCCUACUCUGGUCUUUGUACUUUAAACACUCGAGCACGUCACAAGCUCGGUGCCUCAACUUAACCAUUUUCCGAAUGGUUGGGAAGAAUGAAUGUUUUAUACACUGUUUAAAAAACCAGAACCCCAGAUUUGCGGGGUAAAUGUAACAAUAUACAUCUCAGUAUUGUACUGUGUGAUCGGCCAGCGAGACCUUGUAUUGUCAUGGCGGGUGGGGGUGAGGGGCUGGAGGUGGGGGUGGGGGGGUGGGGGUAGGGGACUGUUGGAGGCUACAUGUUGGUCACCAUGGAGACCCAUGUACCUUUAGACCAGAGGGAAAUCUUCCUCCUCCUGAUAGCUCAGUGGUGUGCACACAGAAGAUAGCAGAGACACUAACAUAUGAAAACAGUUUACCUCUUUAUGUCUAGAACAAUUCAGCAGGCAACAGAACAAGCAUUGGGACUACGACCGCAGUAAAAGGCAUGCGAAGGCACAAGUACCAACAAACUGGACUCAAAGUCGUACCCCUUUUCUUCCCCUUUUUUGGUUGUAGGGAAGGAAGAAAAGAGGCAUCUCCACCAACAGCAAAGAUUCCUUUUCCAGAGACAGCGGCAGAAGAAACAGCAAAAAAAAAAAAAAAAAAGUGAUCUCCUCUUUCUCCACAACAAAAAUAAAAAGGUAAAAAAAUUAAAAUAAAAUAAAAAAAAGUGAGAAAAUUUGCAGUUUACAAUGAUACAAACAUCCUACACAAAUGUCGUAACGCUAGUUCAUAAUGUUCCAAGACAAAAAAACAUAAAUAAAGCUGUUAAAAGUGGCAUAUAGUACAGCACUGGUCCGUGACUGAUCCUCCCGACUCUUCUCAUCUUCCCCACCAAAGAUGCACAAUAAGCUGGCUCCACUGCC
ensembl:lncRNA